rnacentral:rRNA from 1 species
UACGUAGGUGGCAAGCGUUGUCCGGAUUUACUGGGCGUAAAGAGCGCGCAGGCGGUCGUUCAAGUCGCGUGUGAAAGCCCCCGGCUCAACUGGGGAGGGUCACGCGAUACUGAUCGACUGGAAGGCAGGAGAGGGUAGUGGAAUUCCCGGUGUAGUGGUGAAAUGCGUAGAUAUCAGGAGGAACACCUGUGGCGAAAGCGGCUCACUGGACCACAACUGACGCAGAGGCGCGAAAGCUAGGGGAGCAAACAGG